rnacentral:rRNA from 1 species
UACGUAGGGGGCAAGCGUUGUCCGGAAUCAUUGGGCGUAAAGAGCGUGUAGGCGUCUCGGUAAGUCCGCUGUGAAAGUCCAGGGCUCAACCCUGGAAAGCCGGUGGAAACUGUCGAGCUCGAGUCCGGAAGAGGCGAGUGGAAUUCCUGGUGUAGCGGUGAAAUGCGCAGAUAUCAGGAGGAACACCAAUGGCGAAGGCAGCUCGCUGGGACGGUACUGACGCUGAGACGCGAAAGCGUGGGGAGCAAACAGG